GACAAGCCAGGCCCAGGCGGGCCCCCUCCCGUCCGCUCCCCCGCCGCCCGCCUCCUCCUGGGCCUCGCCGCCCGUGACUCAGGCUGAGUCAUCCUGUGACACCACAGAGGAAACUUCUUAGGAAAAACAAUCGCAAACAAAGCGUCCCCUGAUGCGGGGAACAGGAUAGGCCCAGGAGGUGAUUCAUGUUCACGAGAAGUUUGAGAUCUGCUGGAACAUCGCUCCUGUCCAACCGCGGUAUCGCUGAGCGAGAGGGUUUAAAGACAUCUUUCUUGACGUCGCAGAAUUACGGGGCCUCAAAAAGCACCCCGUUUGACCAAGACCCGCCACUGGACCCUGAAAUCCAACCUUCAACUGGUGGAAAAGUAGAAAUAGGGGAACCAGGGAAGGUGCCGUUUCCCAUUUCAUAGUUGGGGGAAACCAGUCAGAGAAGGAAACGGCUUUCCUGAGACAACGCCGCCAAGGAAAGCUGGAGUCUGACCCUGGGCGAGUUGCUUCAUCUUCCCAGGCCUUGGUUUUACUAACUGCACUCGUUUUGGGUUUAAAUGAGAACUUCUGACAUCUCCCAAGAGCUGGAGUAGCAACCAGAGGACUCGCCUGUGCUUGUGGACACGCCAGGCCUGCAUAUCCCAGGUCGUGAAGUGAGGGGUGGGGCCGGGCGAUUCCAGGGUCUGGGCGUAAAAGCUGGAAUCUGGAAAAAGGCCGGUGGGGAGAGGAGCCCUCGGGGGAUGGUCACGGCCACAGCACCUGGGCAGAGCAGUGCCCUGGCUUAAGCUCAAGGUCUCGUGGCAAGUCCUGAGCAGGGACCGGACAUGACAACAGGCUUCCCCCGGCUUCUUCAGCGGGGCCCACAGACAUUACCCCUCCUGAUGCCCAACUCCACACUUGUAUUUGCUGAACAAAUGAAUGAAGUACGAGGUCCCGGGGAGACGGUCCCUGAGCCUCCCAAUGAGGCAGCGAGAACUUUGACAACCAGCUCCCUCCGUUCCACCCGCAAGGCUGCGAGGGCCUUCGGAGCGGCAAGCUGGCAAAGUGCAGCCAGAGCCGUGAGACCCGAAGCGUUGAGCCAGUAACUCCAUUUCUUCGGCCCUCUUUUAGGAAAUAACGAGAGAAGCCUAAUUUAUACACCAGGCUGUUCAUUGCAGGAUGUUUAUACGCAGCCUAAACGCCUAAUGAGGGAGGAGUGGCGAACCAAGGCCUAUCCCCACUUGGCUAUGACAGAGGGAUGGGAAAGCAGGUUGGCAUAUAGCGUGUUCAUAAAAAAAAAAAAAAAAAAGACUUGUUUUUUACAAAUAAAAUGCAUUAUUUCAUUUCUUUAA